AAUAUUGCACAAUGGGCUCAAGCCUGAUGCAGCGACGCCGCGUGAGCGAAGAAGGUUUUCGGAUCGUACAGCUCUGUCCUCUGGGAAGAAAAGGUUCUGGCUAAUACCCGGAACUGAUGACGGUACCUGUAGAAUAAGCACCGGCUAACUACGUGCCAGCAGCCGCGGUAAUACGUAGGGUGCAAGCGUUAAUCGGAAUUACUGGGCGUAAAGCGUGCGCAGGCGGUUCGGAAAGAAGGAUGUGAAAUCACAGGGCUCAACCUUGGAACUGCAUUCUUAACUACCGAACUAGAGUAUGUCAGAGGGGGGUAGAAUUCCGCGUGUAGCAGUGAAAUGCGUAGAUAUGCGGAGGAAUACCGAUGGCGAAGGCAGCCCCCUGGGAUAAUACUGACGCUCAUGCACGAAAGCGUGGGUAGCAAACAGG
rnacentral:rRNA from 1 species